CUAUCCUUGUUAGUUUAAAGUCCUUGGGGCAAUACGGUUGGCAACAUUGAAUUAACAAGAAAGAUCGUGGAAAACACGUGUUACUUUCGUAGUAUGUGCUGUUUCGAAUAGUUAUCAUGGCCAAAUUUCAUAAGAAACAAAGCAAGCGUAUGACUUGUAGAAGGAAGUAUAAAAUACAAA